GAGCAAUCACGCUUUCCUCUGGGGAGACGUUUGAUGUAUCUAAAACAAGUUGCACUACAAGCCUUCAAUUUCAACAUGUUGAAUCCAAAUGCUAAUUGCUUGAUUUACAUGAACAAUGAAAUCCAAAUCUAUAACCCGAAAAUGAAAAAGAAAAUAAUGUCACACCCUAUUUGUCUAUUACUUAGUAACGAGUUUUCAGGCCGUGGUUUUUACUUCCGCGGAAAAAUGAUUAUGACAUUAAAUCACGUUUUAGGAAAGGUUCCAUGUGGUGAGAAAAUUUGGUGUUUUUUCCCCUCAGGUGAUUUUGUAUUAAUUUUUCUGACCCAUUUAAAUUCUAAUUUAUACCAGUCCUACCCAGAGGCAGACAUUGGUGUACUUCACUUUGAUGCUGACCCUUCACCUCUGGGUGUUGGCUUCUAUGAGAAAAUGUACCGUGGUCCUCCAGAGCCGGGUAUAAAUAUAUAUUUCACUAAAUUUGAUGAAUCAAACCUAGGUGCUCCUAUCAAGCGUCAUGGGAGAAUAAUACCGGCAGAGACGGUUUGUAAAGCUAUACGAUCUUUGAUACCGGUCACUGACAGCCAAAAACUGUUAGAAAAUGAGUUCCUGAUGGAUACCCAUGGAACAGACGGAGAUAGUGGAAGCCCACUUAUUGAUCAAAUGGGCAGAUGUGUAGGGCUAUAUCGUGGAACCUUCUAUGGCAAUGGCCGUGGGGUAUAUCUAACCUGUUCAAUCCGGCCCCAAUCAAUAUUGCCUUCCUUAUUUGACCGCCUUACUUCAUUUAAGUAUUACUUUUUUACUUUUCUCGCACACUUUUCUCCCAUUUAGUCAUUCUCCCCAAUCAGUUGUUCAUGAAAAUUGUCAUUAGCUUUAGGACUGAAAUGAAAAAAAAAAUGAAUAAAAAAAAAACAUUAAAAAACAAAACAAGCAAAUAAACAAACAAACAAAACAAAACAAACAAAAAAUAUAUAUACACAAUUCUGUUUGGUCAUGGGUAUGCCACUGUGGAGCAUUUGUUUCACCAUACCCAGGCUUGUGUGCAGCGACCUUUUAGGUUCAUCUACUACGUCCCUUCCCCUCCCCAGGGUGGAAUCUUAUGUGUAGCCUGUCUCCAGAAACUGAGGUUCUUGGAGUGUUGCCAAUCAUACAGAGGCCUGGCUCAAGAGAAGACGUUGAUCAGGCUGAGACCACACCUGAACAUAUAGGCUACCACCCCGUAUCGAGGCUAUCAACGUAACUACCAAGAUCUCCCAAAGGUCAGCCACAUCACUCACAGACAUUCUAUCUGGAUCCUCCUAAUGUGUGAAAACAUCGCCACCAGCUGGUCACCUCUGGAACAACACACCAACUAUACUGCAAAUCCAUCGCCACCUCACUGGGCUAUUUGCUCUCAUAUCUGAUUCCUCCCUGGUUCCUAUUUUCUUUGUCCUUUUCAUGUCUGUGCCUAAUCUGGGUUAUAAAUGUAGCUCAGUUUACGAUUAACAUAUGUAAGAUUGUGCCUAAUCAGGGUUAUAGAUUUAGCUCAGUUUAAGAUCAACAUGUUCAGAUUGUGCCUACUCUGGGUUAUAGAUUUAGCUCAGUUUAAGAUUAACAUGUUCAAGAUUGUGCCUAAGAUGGGUUAGAAGUGUAGCUCAGUUUAAGAAGAACAUGUUUAAGAUUGUGCCUACUCUGGGUUAUAGACUUUACUCCGUUUAAGAUUUUCUUUUGUUUUUAUUUUUUGAAAAAGCAACCAAAAAUUGAGAGGUACAUUAAUGUUUGGCUGUAUGGUGAGGGCCUCAUAUAUCCUUAAUUGAAUUUGCAUUUGGUCAGGCCCUCCACUAUACACCUGUAUGAGCAUUACCAUCAUUUGUAGAAUAAACAGCUUUCCCUCUCCACCAAAAGCA